CUCCAAAGACACACCCAAACUCCCCCAUCGCCUCUUCGAGAGCUCGCUCUCCCUCGUCUCCGCUUCGAUCCAGGUACCCCAAACCCCAAUCGAUCCCCUCGGCUCCGUUCGCCUCCAUCGAUUCCUCUCGCAACCUUCUCCAAUUCUUCAAAAUCUCCAUCUCUCGUAGGAGGUAUGCCGGAUUCGCUCUCCUUGGUCCCCUAAGUUUCAAUUUUGUGUUGCUGUUCUGGGAUCAGAGGCGCGCUGGUCUUUUACUAGAUCCAUACGGGAUGGAUGGUGACUGGGGAUCUUUUUUUCUUACCGUGGAUUCCGUGGCGCGAUCGGUUUGGGUUCGUGCUUUGGAUUAGGAGUGACUUCUCUUGGUGAAGGGAUAUUGGUGUUUCGUUGCUAUGUCUUCGGUGGAGGAGGAGACGGUUGCUAUGAAGAGGGGGGUCGCGAACGGGGUUUCUGCGUCGAAGGAGGUCCGUGAACCGAAUCGGCAGAAGAAGAGGCGGUUGGUUUUGAGCGAUUCGGAUUCAGACGAUUGUUUGUUUUCUCUAAGCAAGGUGGAUCACAGGACCGAUCAGAACGGAGACAGCUCGAGCAUCGGUGAAGACAAUGGCGUGGAGCGGAUGGAAGAGAAAGGCAAGGUUGAGGUAGAGAAUAAGAAGAGGGUUUUAAGGCCAGAUUUCAUGAAGCGAAAUGAAGAGCUCAUAGUUUCUGACAAGAAAGAAGUUACCAAGCCAGAGUUGGAAAGAAGGAGUAGAGAGCCAGCUGAUGCCAAAGUUCCUGCAAAGAAACUGGAAAUGGAUUUUUCAGAACGAGGAGGAGGCAACAAUUCUGAAAUAUCAAAAAGAAAACUGUUGCAUGGUCGAGAUGACACAAAUGAUAUGGAGGCAGAAAAAGAUGUAGGUUCCAAACCUCUAGAUCCCACGAGCAUCAAGAGGGAUGGGUUGAUGGAGAAUGACACGGAGACAAACUCUCCCAGGACUAGCAGGAGAGAAGCUGAAAAAGACAAGCCAAUACAGUCAUCAGGUAAUCAAACACUUCGUAUGAGACAUAAUAGCAGCAGUUCUGCUAAUGAAAAGAGAGCAGAUACUGCCAUGUCACAAUCCAAAGCUGGUGUUCUGACGUUGCAAGGGAAAAAUGGUGUCUUGAGGGUCUCACCAAGUAACAAAAGGGCAGAUGGGCUGAAGAACCAUUCUAAAAGGAAAGAUGAGGAAAAAUUAAAGGCUGUAGGCUCUCCUAAGGAUUCCGCCCGAGGUAUACCAAAGAGACCAUCUCUUUCUCCAGAUCAAAGAGUACAUGGAAAAUCAAGUACAGGAGCUACAUUCAGUAAGUAUCAAUCAAGAAAGGCAAAAAUUGACAAAACUGAGGAAAUUAGAUCCAGUAGACGAAAAACAAAGCCAGUAAUUGUUUCUCCGAAAAGAGAAAAAAAAAGAACGGAUAAGCUGAAGAGCAGGACUGGUUUGAAAAUAAAGAGCAGAUCCAGCUCAAAAGCUGCUUUUAUUGCAAAACAAAAAUUAAAUAAAGCAAGUGUAGCACGCAGCACUGAAAAACAGAACCUCAGGGAUCAGAUAAAAAACAUACUUCUUAAUGCUGGUUGGACAAUAGAUCUGAGGCCAAGGAAAGGCAGAAACUAUGAAGAUUCUGUUUAUAUUCCUCCUGAAGGAAAAAGUGGUUAUUGGUCAAUUACAAAGGCUUAUGCUGCAUAUCAGGAACAACUGAACAGGGCAUGCAAUGAGAGGGGCAAGAAUUCUUCAGGAAGAUCCUCUAAAACAUCUUCUGGCAGUGACUCUGUCGUACCGAUGGAAUCCUUAGAUAUACUAAAGAGAAUUGUUAACAAGAGAGGGAGGAGGGAAGAGCUCAAGGAAACUCAAAGGGGCAAAAAGAAAGUAAAGAGAACUUCUGACAUGAGGCAUGCUAGACAUCAAGACACUCAGGAUAAGCUUGAUGAUAAUAGAGGCAGAAAGAAGUCAAACAGUGCCUUGCCCUCAAACAUGAAGAUUGCUGUUGGUUCCACUGUUCUUAAGCAUGUUCAAAAAGGAAGAAACAAACAGAGAGGAUGCACUCUGUUGGCUCGUGGCAGCAACCAGGAGGCAGAAGCUGAAGAUAAUGAUUAUGUUCCAUACAUGUGGAAAAGGACAGUUCUCUCAUGGAUGAUAGAUAUGGGUGUCUUGACCAUAAACGGAAAAGUGAAAUACAUGAACCAGAGAAAAACAAAGACAAAGCUGGAAGGCCGGAUAACAAGAGAUGGUAUUAAUUGCAGUUGCUGCAGUAAAAUUAUUCCUGUGCCAAAGUUUGAGCUUCAUGCUGGAAGCAAACUUCUCCAGCCAUCACAAUAUAUAUUUCUGGAAGAUGGAGGAGUUUCCCUGUUGCAGUGUCAGCUUGAUGCAUGGAAAAAGCAGGAUGAGUCAGAACGCCAAGGAUUCUACUGUGUUGAUGUAAGCGGUGAUGACCCAAAUGAUGAUACUUGUGGCAUCUGCGGUGAUGGUGGUGACUUGAUCUGUUGUGAUGGUUGUCCUUCAACAUUCCAUUUGAGUUGUUUGGGCAUUGAGAAGCUUCCUCCUGGAGAUUGGCACUGUACAAACUGUUGCUGCAGAUAUUGUGGGGGUAUCUCUACUGAUGCCACCCGAGAAACGGAUGGAACAGUUUCUUCGUUACUCUCGUGCCACCAGUGUGAGGCAAAAUACCACCAAGGCUGUGUUCCUGAUGCAGAAUCUGUUUCUGCCAUUACCAAGAAUUUGGGCAUGUCUUUUUGUGCCCAAAGUUGCAGAAAGGUUUUCAAACGAUUGCAGAAGAUUCUUGGGAUCAAGAAUGACUUGGAAGCAGGAUUCUCAUGGAGUGUUAUUAGGCGUUUUGAUGAGGAUGCUCCCAAAACACCACUGAAGUCUCAUUUAAUUGCUGAAUGCAACUCGAAGGUUGCUGUUGCCCUUGCAGUUAUGAACGAGUGCUUUCUUCCGAUUAUUGACCAGAGAAGUGGUGUUAACCUGAUUCAUAAUGUUGUGUAUAACUGUGGAUCAAAUUUCAAUCGGCUGAACUAUAGGGGUUUCUACUCUUUUAUUUUGGAGCAAGGUGAUGAAAUUAUUUCUGUGGCAUCUAUCAGAAUUCAUGGAACUAAGCUGGCUGAAAUGCCUUUCAUCGGGACGAGAAACAUGUAUAGACGCCAAGGGAUGUGCCGUCGGCUUCUAGAUGGAAUUGAAUCAGCCCUCUUCUCUCUUGAUAUCGAAAAGCUAGUUAUACCUGCUAUUUCUGAACUGAAGGACACAUGGUCUAAUGUAUUUGGCUUUAAACCUCUUGAGGUUUCACAAGAAUUAGAAGUUAGAUCCAUAAAAAUAUUGGUUUUUCCUGGUACUGGUUUAUUACAGAAGCCACUCCUGAAAAUGCAUUCUUCUGUACAAUAUUCAGCUGUCGAUGGAGUUGAUAAUGACAUCAAACAUCAGCAUCAGACAAUAUCAACUCAUAUAUCAUCUGAGUUCUCAUCUAUUGAGCCCAACCUCCAUAUUCCUGGUCAGGAUGUUGUCCAUUGCAUAAAUCCAAAUCAAGAUGCAGAACCUAGCUUGUCAUCUUCUAGAGUUUCACCUGAUUCUUCUGAUUCUCCUCGACCCAAUUGUAAAUUUCAAGAAAACAAGAUUUCGGAGACUGCUGGUGAUUUAUGCAUGCACAAUUUUCCUGGGGGAGGUUUAUCAGGUUCUCAUGAUGAAGAUAAAUGUCAAGUUGAUUUUUCAACUAAUCAACAAGCUGAGUUGAUUAGUGAGCUAACUUUUUUUGAUAGUCAAGAAGGGGAAAAUGUAGAAGCUAAUCCAUCCGCCGAUCUGCAAGAAUGUGAUUCUGUUUCUAAGCAGAGUUAUCCGGAUGGUUUUGCCUCUGAUACUAAAAAAUCAGGAUCUGCUUCUCUUAGCAUGCAUUCCACAGAAUUUAACUUGUUGCAACAUAAAUUGGAGGAUCAUUGCACUCCUCUAGGUAUUGAUACUUUCACAUUGAAACAGAAUGUUAGGAUGAAUGUAGAACUUCCACUAGGCUCCUUGGAGUCUACAUCAACUCCUAGUUUUCAAUGUCAUGUGACAACCAAAGCUCAUUCUCCAAAUUCAUCAGAGAGCAAUGACCAGGUAUCUUCUGAAUCUGCCCAUGAUGCAAAUCAUUUUGAAAAAUCUCUUAUGGUGCAUUUAGAGCCAUGCUUUCUGUUAAGCAGCAUUUGUAAGGUGAAAGCUAAAGAUUCCAUCCUUGAUCCAAACUCCUCUGUAAAUGAUGGGAACUCAGAACCUUAUGCUUUUGAAAUUGUUAAAAGAUGUCUGAAUGUUGCUGCUACAGAAGAAAAUGGGGCUUUUUGCUCAAGUGCUGCAGUUCCUGAUUCUGAUGAAAAUGCUAGGUUUUCUAUACAGCAAAGUAUUUUAGACACAGUUUACGUAACAAAUGGUACUGUUUGUGAAUCAAACUUAUCUUGUGUUGUUAAGAGCUGCAGGAUACCAAGUGAGACUAACCAUUCUCACAUGGCUUGUUCUGGGAUGCUAGAUGCAGAUAUCCAUGAUGUUCAGCCUAAUUUAACACCUAUCAAUUUCGUUGCUGCUGAUAUUUUGGACAAGUCUCAUCAUAUUUGCAAUGAGUUCACAAAUGGAACUGAAAGUAAAAAAUGAUGAGGUAUCCUUUGUCCAAUGUAUUGAUGAUUGUAGUCUUCAUGAUGAUUCUGUGGACAUAAAGAAGUUUGAUUUAGGUUCAGAACCUUCUUAAUGGCUACUGAUAAACCCUCUGUGGCUUAAUCCCAGCAGAACAUCUGUUUACUGGUGUUGCUGGGUUUCCUGUUGGGGAUGAUAUUCAUAUGAUACACAAGGUUUUUCUGAGGCAAGAUGCACAAGGUUGUUAGUGGACCCCGCAGGUUGCCAGUUGUGUACUGGAGAAUUAUUUUGUUGAUUCAUCUUGUAAAUAGUAAAGGCCUUUAAAAUCAUCCAAGCCCCUCUAUUGUGAGUUAGAAAGAUUAUCUUAAAGGAAUCUUAUCAUCUGAGCAUGGUGAGAAUGGUGUGUUAUUUUUCACAUGAAGUAUAUGGUGAUCUAUUGCAUAAUCAUCCUCAGUUUCAAUCAACAUUUCGCUGAGUUACCAUUGAGUUUCUAACAGAAGUGCAAAAUGAAGUAAAGUAACCUAGUUUUGGCGGUUAAAAAGACUGACAAGCCAAUGUUCAUCAAGGACUUACGAUAGUUCCUACUCAUGUACAGAGCAGAUUCAGUUGGAAUAAUCAAUCACCACAUCCGGCAGGUUUUUCUCUGCCAUGUAUAGAAAUCAGUGAGUGGUUAUCUGCUACUUAUGCAAUGGGGGAAUUACUUCAUCAAGGACCUGAUUUGGCGAAUCAAAGGAAUGGUCUCCACAAUGAAUCUAAGCGGAUUAGGAAUACUGCUAUAGCGCUGACUAGGGUGAAGGCUAGAGGGUUUGGUAUUCUUGUCAAGUUAGUUUAGGUCGAUUAGGAAACAGGUAGCAUAUGGUGCUAUACCCUGUUCUGCUUUAACGGCCUAAACGAGGAGUAGACGGUGCAACCCAAAGGGAUGAUCAGAUCUAUUAAAGACUUGGCACGAACGGAGUGAGAAUGGGUGAAGAUCUCAAGGUACGUCCAAAGUCUCCUCUAAGUGUCUUUAGAAGAAAUAAUAACUAUCAAUUCGUCACUAAAAGUGAUUGUGUUUUGUCUUCUUCGUCUUCUAGUAGAGCAUUGGAGGUGUUGCUAACAAUUGAUGGGCAAAUUUUGAAGGUUCUUUUUUUUAAUUCCAAGGCACUAAUGGGUAACAAUGAAGGUCAUUUUCAGGUCA